AGAAGAAAAUCCAAGUCAGAUGUCAAAGAAAGAUUUGGCACUCAAGCAGGCAAUGUAUCAUAUCACUGCAUCAUUUGGAAAUGGUUCUAUCAUGUGGCUUGGCUGCUCUGCCCCUGUCAAACAAGUCCCAGUUGUGUCUACAGGUGAUUUUACUAAAUUGGAUUUUGCAGACUACAAUGGGCCUUGCAGAGGAUAUAAUCAGUUGGGCAGCAUUGGAUACAACAUUGAGCAGUUCUUUUCAAAGUUAAGAAAGCCUAAUACUGCUUAAAGAAAGCUUUGGUUUCACGUAAGCAAGAAUUGGCUUUGAUUAGCAUACACUCAUCUUGAGGUUGUUGCGGGAGAACUUAGCAAAUCUUGCCAUGGGCGGCAGCAGAAACAAAAUUGAUUUUGGAUAGGGGAAAGAUGCAUUGUGCGUUUCAAGCUCCAUGCUGCAUGCUUUCUUAUUUAUCAAUGUAAUUAGUUUAGGACAAUUCGUUAUUGAAUUUAUUAGACCCUCUUUGUUAUAGGUUUCUUUUUGGUUUAUCUGUAACUAAAUUCCAUCAGACAAACAGUUCCAUUAA